UGCGGGGGGGGCAAGCGUUGUUCGGAAUUACUGGGCGUAAAGGGUUUGUAGGUGGCUUGUUAAGUCAGACGUGAAAUCCCUCAGCUUAACUGGGGAACUGCGUCUGAUACUGGCGAGCUUGAGUGCAGGAGAGGAACGCGGAAUUCCAGGUGUAGCGGUGAAAUGCGUAGAUAUCUGGAGGAACACCGGUGGCGAAGGCGGCGUUCUGGACUGCAACUGACACUGAGAAACGAAAGCCAGGGUAGCAAACGGG
rnacentral:rRNA from 1 species